rnacentral:rRNA from 1 species
AGUACCGUGAGGGAAAGGCGAAAAGAACCCCGGGAGGGGAAGUGAAAUAGAUCCUGAAACCGCAUGCUUACAAAAAGUAGGAGCCUGGAAACGGGUGACUGCGUACCUUUUGUAUAAUGGGUCAGCGACUUACAUUUCAGUGGCAAGGUUAACCCGAAUAGGGAAGCCGUAGAGAAAUCGAGUCCGAAUAGGGCGAAAUUAGUCGCUGGGUGUAGACCCGAAACCAAGUGAUCUAUCCAUGGCCAGGAUGAAGGUGCCGUAACAGGUACUGGAGGUCCGAACCGACUAGUGUUGCAAAACUAGCGGAUGAGCUGUGGAUAGGGGUGAAAGGCUAAACAAACUUGGAAAAUAGCUGGNUUCUCUCCGAAAACUAUUUAGGUAGUGCCUCAAGUAUUACCGUUGGGGGUAGAGCACUGGAUGGGCUAGGGGGUCGCGAGAUCUACCAAACCUAACCAAACUCCGAAUACCCACAAGUACAGCUCGGGAGACAGACGGCGGGUGCUAAGGUCCGUCGUCAAAAGGGAAACAGCCCUAACCUACAGCUAAGGUCCCCAAGUCAUCACUAAGUGGGGAAAGCAUGUGGGNACUUCCAAAACAACCAGGAGGUUGGCUUAGAAGCAGCCAU